UUUAGUUCCAAAGCAAAGCAUUCAAUUUCUAUAACCAAUAAUCUACUUUUACCAAUAUUGUUUGGGUCAUCCGCUGUCAUAAUUGCAUCUUUAAAUUGAAUUGUGUCAGCCACAUUUUGCAAACUGUAUCUAUUUUGAUGUAUCUGGCUUGAUUCUUAGAAUCCAUUAUGAUAUGACAUUAUAACUACACACACACACACACACACACUACACACACACACACACACACACACACACACACACACAUAUAUAUAUAUUUUAAGUGAGAUGUAACCUCCCUUAUGUUCUGAUUC
rnacentral:lncRNA from 1 species